CCUACGGGAGGCAGCAGUGGGGAAUAUUGCACAAUGGGGGAAACCCUGAUGCAGCGACGCCGCGUGAGUGAAGAAGUAUCUCGGUACGUAAAGCUCUAUCAGCAGGGAAGAAAAUGCCGGUACCUGACUAAGAAGCCCCGGCUAACUACGUGCCAGCAGCCGCGGUAAUACGUAGGGGGCGAGCGUUAACUGGAUUUACUGGGGGUAAAGGGAGCGUAGACGGCAGCACAAGUCUGGAGUGAAAUCCCCGGGCUUAACCCCGGAACUGCUUUGGAAACUGGGCGGCUGGAGUGCAGGAGGGGUAAGCGGAAUUCCUAGUGUAGCGGUGAAAUGCGUAGAUAUUAGGAGGAACACCGGUGGCGAAGGCGGCUUACUGGACUGUAACUGACGUUGAGGCUCGAAAGCGUGGGGAGCAAACAGGAUUAGAUACCCGAGUAGUC
rnacentral:rRNA from 1 species